rfam:Ipomoea nil DNA, scaffold: scaffold2403, cultivar: Tokyo-kokei standard.
AAGGGAGGAGCAGGUCAAGUUAGCUAAGGAUGACCUGCCUGAAUUGAAACCUAGAAAGUUUCAACUGGUUAUGUAGCUUAAUUAGCUUAGGCAAGUCAUCCUUGGCUACUAAACAAGACUCUUCUCU